CGCUGAAACAAGGUAUUGAGAUGUUGAAAAUUUUCAAGGACCAUGAUCCACGAACAUCUAUUAUAGAUGAUUUUGAUUUCUAUGAUGAGCGGGAGAGGAUUUUGAAAGAAAGGAAAACAAGACAACAGCUAUUUGCAACUGCAAAUUCUCUAAAUCCACUAGGUGAUGGUUCCAUUAACCCAAUUUCUGAUCAGUUUGCUCAUGCCUUACGACUCGAUGAUAAUAAGAAAGAAAAACCAGAAAUGGAAAAGGGUGCAACAUCUAGAAUAGAUGCCUCAGUUUCGCUUGAUGAUUCGGUAAAAUAAAGUUCUGAGACUUAUUUCAGUCAUGCAGCUGAGAGACAGACUAAGUAUUAAGGGAGUCCAAGCAUUUAAAGGUGGAUACGGCUAGCAGAAUUGUGUUUUUUUCCGUAUGAUUGGACUCCUUUGAUUCCUUGAGCCUUAGAUGAACGAGUUUGAUAGGUUCUUCGAAGUGAGUCGAAUUCUCCAGCAAGACCGUAGCAUGUCGUUGAUUUGAGACGGGAUAUAUCCAAUCUACAGGAACACUCCUCGAAGCCUUCAGGCCAGGUUUUCACUAUAGUAACUAAUUUUUCGUCUGCUUUUCUUUUCUUCUUUUUUGCCAUAGAACACUGCAUUUGAAAUUUUCAGGUUUUUCUACCGAUAUAUCAUCGUGCAGACGUUUGAAAAUGACGUUUAAAAAGUCUGCUUUUGAAGUAUUUUCGAAUGGUUGUACAACUAUCACUUGUGUUUCUCUUGUUGCUCUUGAUGAAGCUGAUGAGAUUCCUUAGAACUUUGAAAAUGCCUUGCUUAUAGUAUUUAUGUAAUGUCCCAGAUCCACCGCUAGCAGAUAUUGUUCUCUUUGAGCUUUCUCUCAAGGCUUUAAAAUGCAUAUGUUAGGGGAAUGUCUCCCUACCCUUAUAAAUAGUGGUUUGUUUUCCUCCCAAACCAACGUGAGAUAUUACCAUCUUUAGAAAAUAGAGUAUUUUUUAUUA